GUCAUUUGUUCCCUCACCCUUACUUUCGAAUUCCCUCCCCUUCUCUACCGCCCGUAACCCCGUUCUCUCUUUAUUCUUCGUCAGCAAAACCGUAAGGUUCCAGGACUUCAGGAUACUCCACGGCUCCACUGCUCCCAGCAUCUGGAUUUAGGGAUAUUUGGUGAGAUGGUUCCAAAAACAGGACUUUUCCCCUCGGCAAUCUUUUUGUGGUCUUCGUCAGUCGGUUGAAAAAAUGACGCAAAAUCUUGUGACUAUGCAUAGCUGAGGCUCUUCUUGAAAUUGUUCCCAAAAAGAAACCCAAACUGCUACGUGACUCAAUCCGCGAAGCACACUGUAACUACUUGACACGCUCCAACUCACUACCUCACUUGGACUCAAAAGUUGUUGGUCUUAAGGUGUCAAAGGGAUUAUAGUAACAAGUCAUGUGAAACUCAGUCAGUCUAAGGUUCAAAAUUCCAUCUCUUACUUGCCCGAUACGUGACGCGAAGACGCUUAUUGUACAACUCUUCCGGAUAGCUCUGCCGGAUCUUUGCGUGCAUUGAAAUCGAUUCUGUUCCUCCGUACCUAUCCAAAUUUCACUUGAAAACUUCAGACUUGAAAUCUCUCCUUUGAAAUUUUAAUUUGAAAAAAAUUGAAUUGUCAAAAGAAAAGUCUUCUCUUACCAGAAGUUCUUCAAAAAAAACCUACCAAAAUUUGAAUUGUAACCUUAUACUUUACUGUGCAUAUAUAUUAAACUUUAAAAAAAUCUAAUUAGCAAACAAUAAAUAAUG
rnacentral:sRNA from 1 species